AGGGUUAUAGUUAAAUUAUAUAACAUUUGAUUUGCAUUCAAAAAUUAUUUAAAAUCUUAAAUUUACCUUG
rnacentral:tRNA from 1 species